rnacentral:rRNA from 1 species
AUUGAACGCUGGCGGCAGGCCUAACACAUGCAAGUCGAGCGGAUGAAGAGAGCUUGCUCUCUGAUUCAGCGGCGGACGGGUGAGUAAUGCCUAGGAAUCUGCCUGGUAGUGGGGGACAACGUUUCGAAAGGAACGCUAAUACCGCAUACGUCCUACGGGAGAACGUGGGGGAUCUUCGGACCUCACGCUAUCAGAUGAGCCUAGGUAAGAUUAGCUAGUUGGUGAGGUAAAGGCUCACCAAGGCGACGAUCGUUAACUGGUCUGAGAGGAUGAUCAGUCACACUGGAACUGAGACACGGUCCAGACUCCUACGGGAGGCAGCAGUGGGGAAUAUUGGACAAUGGGCGAAAGCCUGAUCCAGCCAUGCCGCGUGUGUGAAGAAGGUCUUCGGAUUGUAAAGCACUUUAAGUUGGGAGGAAGGGCAGUAAGUUAAUACCUUGCUGUUUUGACGUUACCGACAGAAUAAGCACCGGCUAACUUCGUGCCAGCCGCCGCGGUAAUAC